rnacentral:rRNA from 1 species
GUGAACGCUGGCGGUAGGCCUAACACAUGCACGUCGAACGGCAGCACAGUAAGAGCUUGCUCUUACGGGUGGCGAGUGGCGGACGGGUGAGGAAUACAUCGGAAUCUACUUUUUCGUGGGGGAUAACGUAGGGAAACUUACGCUAAUACCGCAUACGACCUACGGGUGAAAGCAGGGGAUCUUCGGACCUUGCGCGAUUGAAUGAGCCGAUGUCGGAUUAGCUAGUUGGCGGGGUAAAGGCCCACCAAGGCGACGAUCCGUAGCUGGUCUGAGAGGAUGAUCAGCCACACUGGAACUGAGACACGGUCCAGACUCCUACGGGAGGCAGCAGUGGGGAAUAUUGGACAAUGGGCGCAAGCCUGAUCCAGCCAUACCGCGUGGGUGAAGAAGGCCUUCGGGUUGUAAAGCCCUUUUGUUGUGAAAGAAAAGCAGCAGGUUAAUACCCCGCCGUUCUGACGGUACCCAAAGAAUAAGCACCGGCUAACUUCGUG